AGAGUUUGAUUCUGGCUCAGGACGAACGCUGGCGGCGUGCUUAACACAUGCAAGUCGAACGAGGCAAGCGCCUUCGGGUGCUUACCGAGUGGCGGACGGGUGAGUAACGCGUGAAUGAUCUGUCCUUAAGAGGGGGAUACCAACUGGAAACAGUUGCUAAUACCGCAUAAGACCACGCCAUCGCAUGGUGGAGGGGUAAAAGGAGGAAUCUGCUUAAGGGUGAGUUCGCGUCUGAUUAGGCAGUUGGCGGGGUAAGAGCCCACCAAACCGACGAUCAGUAGCCGACCUGAGAGGGUGAUCGGCCACAUUGGGACUGAGACACGGCCCAGACUCCUACGGGAGGCAGCAGUGGGGAAUAUUGGGCAAUGGGCCGAAAGCCUGACCCAGCAACGCCGCGUGAGGGAAGAAGGUUUUCGGAUUGUAAACCUCUGUCCUUGAGGACGAAGGAAGUGACGGUACUCGAGGAGGAAGCCCCGGCUAACUACGUGCCAGCCGCGGC
rnacentral:rRNA from 1 species